GCGGGUGUAGUUCAGUGGUAGAACGUCAGCUUCCCAAGCUGAAUGUCUGGGGUUCGAAUCCCCACACCCGCU
rnacentral:tRNA from 2 species